AGUGAACGCUGGCGGUAGGCCUAACACAUGCAAGUCGAACGGCAGCACAGUAAGAGCUUGCUCUUACGGGUGGCGAGUGGCGGACGGGUGAGGAAUACAUCGGAAUCUACUUUUUCGUGGGGGAUAACGUAGGGAAACUUACGCUAAUACCGCAUACGACCUACGGGUGAAAGCAGGGGAUCUUCGGACCUUGCGCGAUUGAAUGAGCCGAUGUCGGAUUAGCUAGUUGGCGGGGUAAAGGCCCACCAAGGCGACGAUCCGUAGCUGGUCUGAGAGGAUGAUCAGCCACACUGGAGCUGAGACACGGUCCAGACUCCUACGGGAGGCAGCAGUGGGGAAUAUUGGACAAUGGGCGCGAGCCUGAUCCAGCCAUACCGCGUGGGUGAAGAAGGCCUUCGGGUUGUAAAGCCCUUUUGUUGGGAAAGAAAAGCAGCAGGUUAAUACCCCGCUGUUCUGACGGUACCCAAAGAAGAAGCACCGGCUAACUUCGUG
rnacentral:rRNA from 1 species